UCCAGACUCCUACGGGAGGCAGCAGUGGGGGAUAUUGGACAAUGGGGGGAGCCCUGAUCCAGCGACGCCGCGUGAGUGAAGAAGUAUUUCGGUAUGUAAAGCUCUGUCAGCAGGGAAGAAAGCAAUGACGGUACCUGACCAAGAAGCCCCGGCUAACUACGUGCCAGCAGCCGCGGUAAUACGUAGGGGGCAAGCGUUAUCCGGAAUUACUGGGUGUAAAGGGAGCGUAGACGGCUGUGCAAGUCUGGAGUGAAAGGCGGGGGCUCAACCCCCGGACUGCUUUGGAAACUGUUUGACUGGAGUGCAGGAGAGGUAAGUGGAAUUCCUAGUGUAGCGGUGAAAUGCGUAGAUAUUAGGAGGAACACCAGUGGCGAAGGCGGCUUACUGGACUGUAACUGACGUUGAGGCUCGAAAGCGUGGGGAGCAAACAGGAUUAGAUACCCUGGUAU
rnacentral:rRNA from 1 species